AUAAAUUAACCGUUUUACAUGUAUAUAAUGUACAUAUACGAAACUUAGAUAGACAAGAACAAAAAAGGAAAAAAGAAAUGAAAUGCAUAACGAAUUAAUAUCAAAUUUAAAGAAACGAUCGAGAGCUUUCGUAACUAGAAAACAACAGAGAAAAAAACGAAUAUAAAAGGAAGAAGAAUAAUUCUCUCGCCGACGAUACUAUUAUGAUUGUACACGUCGUUCUAUGUUUUGUAUCUGAAGGCGUUGCACAAAGAACGACAUAAAGUUGCGACAAAACUGCGAAUAUAUACAAUAAAUCGCCGAAAGUGACGUGACGAAUUUUACCGUGACGAACUUAUCCGUUCCAAAUUACCAUUUCCGUACAAGAGGCGAAGACUGGUUAAUAAAUAUAUGGAGCCGUUGUUUGUCAUUUUUUGAUGCUUCGAACGACUCGAUUUUGUAUUCGAUUUCGAUUAUUCGUUAGAACAAAACACAUUUUCAAUUAAGAUACUCUUCGAUCUCUUCGAUAAUCGAUUGUUGCGUUUCAUUACAAAUCGACAGGCAAAAAAUCUCGCGCUCAAAAUAAGAAAUGAGCGAUCGCUUUGAGAAAUAUAUUAUUUUGCAUUAAUUAUUCGACUGGUUUUCGAACGAAACGAAAUUAGCAUUUAUUACAUAUAUUCUAUAGAAAUUUAUUUUGAAUUUUGCGCUUUUAUAAAUAGAAGAAAUAAUGGAGAACAAAAUUGGAAAACGUAAUUGGGCAUUCACAUAAGAAAAAAAAAUAAAUAAAUUUAUUAUCUCAAAGCAGAUUUCUUGCGCUUGUCAUGAUGAAAGAAAAGACAAAUUUAUCGCGUAUAUCGAGCGAUACUGAUAAACGAUAAAUCGUUAAGCGUAUCAUCAGAUAUAUGUUGCUUCCGUUUGUGUGCCAAUAAAGAAAAAUCGACAUUCUUGAUGUAUAAAUAUAAUGAAACUUAAAUGAUGAACGAUAUUAUUGUUACGCGGGCCGGCUGUUACGGCUAAUUUUUUCUGAUCAGAAUUUACGAUGCAAUGUAAUUCUUUGGAGCAAUCAUCGCUGUUUAUAAGUACAACCGAUAAAAAUUACUGAAGAGGGAAAGAAGAAGCUCUCCGAUAAAAGAAAAAAAAAAGAAAAAAAAAGAAAAAGAAAAAGAAAAAAAGAAAAAAAUGAAUGAAGAGAGACAGACGAGGGGAAAAAAAAAUCGUGUAAUAUAAACUAUAAGCUACCGAGCAAUUGGUAUGCAUUAAUUACUUGUAUAUAUACAUAGUAUUUUUACAUUCUAAUUCUAAAUUACAUUUCCAAUUCUAAAUGGUAAUAACAUUAACUCUGUGAGCUUCGCUUGUCAUUUGUGUAAAUCGUCGAUGAUAUUUCUUUCAUGUUUGAUUUAAAAAAAAAAAAAAAAAAUAGGAAAGCUAACGCGAAUGUUGUGAACGAUACGCGGCAAAUGUUAUACCCUUUCUUGUGCUUAUUUUAUUGCACCCUCUUGCACAAGAUUCAAUACACGCCUCGUGCCUUCAUCGCACUUAAAUUAAUUAAUUAGAAUGUAUAAUGGUUAUGGUCGUACGUGCAAUGUUCCUAAUCGUGAUUAUUCGUGGGAAAAAUUAUUUGCCAUCUUUGAUCAUGGCAGAUAUAUUUGUAUUUUUAUCAUAAUUAUUGCAUCGACUUGUACAGGCCCCAUCCAUAUCUAUUGAUCAAGAGAUGUAAAGUGACAUUUCGUUUGACACGAAACAUAAAAAAAAAAAAAAAUUAGUAUUCCGCGAAUAUUUUCGUAAAUGUGACAUUUCACGUGGCCAUAGACCAAUUAGGAUGACAAGAAGAAGAAUAUUUCAUCAUCGUGCGUCGUGUUACGAUGUAUUCGAUGUUUGUACGCGUAAUUUGAUUCUAUUUCACUUAUGCUCAUAAGCGGAUGUAAUCGUAUCUUCUCGAAUACACUGUUAUACAACGUGCAAAAGCGAAGAAUAAUAACAUUCACUCGUGCGCAUCUUUAGCCAUUAACAACAUUAAAAACAUCGCCCCAUAUGGCUUUAAUAAAUAUUAGGUUUCUUUUCUAGAAGAGAAAUCUUCGUCAAAAUUCGUCGUAUUAUCGAAAUUCAUUUUUUUUUUUUCUAUUUUGUCUUUUACACAUAGAGACAGAGCGAAGCUCAACGUACUAGUCCUUACUUUAAAACCAAAGUAAAGAGAAAACAACAUUGUGUAGCUUUUAAGAAUCUCCAUUACGUAUUCACACCUGUGUGUCUAUACAAAAGGCAUAAUUAUAAUUAAAUAAUUCAAUCAUCGUAAUUAGGUAAAUGACUAACCGAUAAGCGAAUAGAUAAAGAAGAGAAUACAAUGGAUAAGCCACUCGUUAAAUGUAUCGUUUUAUUUUAAUUCAUUUUUUACUACACGAUUAACAUUUUAUCUAGCAACUUUCGUCGGCUAGGAAUGUAAAUUCUGUAUCUGUACAUUGUUUUCCUAUUUCAACUAUUAAAAGUGAUCGUCAACUUAAA